rnacentral:sRNA from 1 species
GCACCAGCCUCUCAUACUACCACAAAUCUAGACAGAGGGGGAAAUGUUUGUUUACCUUCUUCCCAUCCACCUCCCCUUCUAUCCUCGCUCUUUAUAUAUUAUAUAUAUAUUCAUAACUCUUUUGUUUUAUUCAAUCUUCUUCAGAUCCUAUUCUCCAUCCAAGCUUCUUAUGUUCUAGUAUUACUACUAGUCAGUAAAUUGUAUCUUCGCUCCCUCUCGCCGUUCCCCCAUCUCAUACGAGGCCCUUUCAUCGAUCUGAAACCCUCAGGAGGAGUCAUACUUAGGGUUGCCACAUGAAAUAAGUGCUGUUAAAAAUGUUUAUUUUACUGUGUACCGGUCGACAUCAAAAACUCCGUUCGUUAUAAAGGAGACUGCGGACAAGGUUAUGGAUGAUCUCUUGAGCUUACUUGAUCCUAUCUUGUAUACGCUUUGUAUUUAAAAUAACGGCGAUGCCUUGAUAUAUUCUCUCCGAAACGAUCAUUUAACCCUGCAAUAUUUUUCUAUCUCGACUAAAAGAGAAUGUUGAUUUUCCUCCAUGAGUUCCCAAAAAUCACUUUUUUUUAAAUCCUGCGCCAAAACUCUGUUUAUAUAGCUUGCGUGAAAAUACAUAUAUCCUCCAGA